GAUGAACGCUGGCGGCGUGCCUAAUACAUGCAAGUCGAGCGAACAGACGAGGAGCUUGCUCCUCUGACGUUAGCGGCGGACGGGUGAGUCACACGUGGAUAACCUACCUAUAAGACUGGGAUAACUUCGGGAAACCGGAGCUAAUACCGGAUAAUAUAUUGAACCGCAUGGUUCAAUAGUGAAAUACGGUUUUGCUGUCACUUAUAGAUGGAUCCGCGCUGCAUUAGCUAGUUGGUAAGGUAACGGCUUACCAAGGCAACGAUGCGUAGCCGACCUGAGAGGGUGAUCGGCUACACGGGAACUGAGACACGGUCCAGACGCCGACGGGAGGCAGCAGUAGGGAAUCUUCCGCAAUGGGCGAAAGCCUGACGGAGCAACGCCGCGUGAGUGAUGAAGGUCUUCGGAUCGGAAAACUCUGUUAUUAGGGAAGAACAAAUGUGUAAGUAACUGUGCACGUCUUGACGGUACCUAAUCAGAAAGCCACGGCUAACUACGUG
rnacentral:rRNA from 1 species